ACUCCUACGGGAGGCAGCAGUGGGGAAUAUUGCACAAUGGGGGAAACCCUGAUGCAGCCAUGCCGCGUGUGUGAAGAAGGCCUUCGGGUUGUAAAGCACUUUCAGUAGGGAGGAAGGUAGUGUAGUUAACACCUGCAUUAUUUGACGUUACCUACAGAAGAAGCACCGGCUAACUCCGUGCCAGCAGCCGCGGUAAGUACGGAGGGUGCGAGCGUUAAUCGGAAUUACUGGGCGUAAAGCGCAUGCAGGCGGCCUGUUAAGUCAGAUGUGAAAGCCCGGGGCUUAACCUCGGAAUUGCAUUUGAAACUGGCAGGCUAGAGUCUUGUAGAGGGGUUAGAAUUUCAGGUGUAGCGGUGAAAUGCGUAGAGAUCUGAAGGAAUACCAGUGGCGAAGGCGGCCCCUGGACAAAGACUGACGCUCAGAUGCGAAAGCGUGGGAGCAAACAGGAUUAGAUACCCCUGGUAGCGACUGA
rnacentral:rRNA from 1 species